UGAGUCUAGGGCAUACCACCUGAACGUGCCCAACCUCAUCUGAUCUCAGAAGUUAAGCAAGGUCGGGCCUGGUUAGUGCUUGAAUGGGAGAGAGUGAGACUCCGACUCAA
rnacentral:rRNA from 1 species